rnacentral:tRNA from 1 species
AAUGUUUUAAGUUAAAAAAACUAAUGGCCUUCAAAGCCGUAAAUGGGCAAGUUGCCCAGACAUUA